CCUACGGGGUGCAGCAGUGGGGAAUAUUGCGCAAUGGGCGAAAGCCUGACGCAGCGACGCCGCGUGAGGGAUGAAGGUCUUCGGAUCGUAAACCUCUUUCAGCAGGGAAGAACGGUCACUGUGCUAAUCAGCAGUGAAUUGACGGUACCUGCAAAGCAAGCACCGGCUAACUCCGUGCCAGCAGCCGCGGUAAUACGGAGGGUGCGAGCGUUAAUCGGAAUUACUGGGCGUAAAGCGCUCGUAGGCGGUAUGGCAAGUCAAGGGUGAAAUCCCCGCGCUCAACGUGGGAACUGCCUUUGAAACUGGCAAACUGGAGUGUGUGAGAGGAUAGUGGAAUUCCAGGUGUAGGAGUGAAAUGCGUAGAUAUCUGGAGGAACAUCAGUGGCGAAGGCGACUAUCUGGCACAUAACUGACGCUGAGGAGCGAAAGCGUGGGUAGCAAACAGGAUUAGAUACCCUUGUAGUC
rnacentral:rRNA from 1 species